CAGCCAACAUUGGCAAUUCAUUUAGCCAUC
rnacentral:piRNA from 1 species